GUCGGACAGCCGCUGGAGGCCGUUGUGGCGCUGCCCCCUUACGCGCCACAUCGGCAAAGCUACUCUUAGACAGGACGGGCAGGCGCGCGAGCAUGCGGCGUGCUCGCCAUCACAGUUGGCACAGUGUGGAGUCUUCUGGCAUGUUUCGGAGGAAUGUUCAGUGUCACUACACUUGGCACAUGUCAGCCGGCCUCGACAGUUCUGUGAACUGUGGCCGAACCUUUGGCACUUAAAACAUCUGAGAGGAUUGGGCACGUACGGCCUAACACGAAGUUUGAUGUAACCGGCCUCGAUGGACUCGGGGAGGACACUUGAGCUGAAAGUUUCAGCUGAAUGUUAAACUAGGCGGAGUAUGAAUCGUGCCUGAAUGUACAUCGAGUCUGCAUGUCGAGCUUGGUGGAACAACCAACCAUUCCUGAAUGUCCAACAAGAGUAGUUUGACGUUUGACUAUGUAGCUGAAAUAAUGGGUCCUGGAAAGGGUCAAGAGCUAAAAGCUGUCUCGACAGCUUGACUAGGCCCAUGACCCUCUCUACAAGGCAGUAUUGGUGUACAGCAACAGGUAGUGUCCAUGACAUCAAGAAAUGGGAAGAACAAUGAAUUAUACAGUAGCAUAAGGGCAAUGAAUUAAUAAAUAUACAGCAUAUGAUUUC